rnacentral:SRP_RNA from 19 species
UCCGGGGCCGCCCACGAAAUAUCCCCCAAACCCCGCUAGGUCCGGAAGGAAGCAACGGUAGGGGGACGCUUCGGUGCGCGAUCCGCCCCGGUUUUC